rnacentral:tRNA from 1 species
AAAAUGUAGCUUAAUACAAAGCAUUUAGCUUACACCUAAAAGAUUUCAGAUUUCACUGACCAUUUUGA